GAUGAACGCUAGCUACAGGCUUAACACAUGCAAGUCGCAGGGUAACAUGAGGAAAGCUUGCUUUCCUUGAUGACGACUGGCGCACGGGUGAGUAACGCGUAUCCAACCUUCCCAUAACUACGGGAUAACCCGUUGAAAGACGGCCUAAUACCGUAUGAUAUCGUUUGCUGACAUCAAAUAACGAUUAAAGGUUUAGCGGUUAUGGAUGGGGAUGCGUCUGAUUAGCUUGUUGGCGGGGUAACGGCCCACCAAGGCGACGAUCAGUAGGGGUUCUGAGAGGAAGGUCCCCCACAUUGGAACUGAGACACGGUCCAAACUCCUACGGGAGGCAGCAGUGAGGAAUAUUGGUCAAUGGGCGAGAGCCUGAACCAGCCAAGUAGCGUGCAGGACGACGGCCCUAUGGGUUGUAAACUGCUUUUAUGUGGGGAUAAAGUGCGUGACGUGUCAUGCAUUGCAGGUACCACAUGAAUAAAGACCGGCUAAUUCCGU
rnacentral:rRNA from 1 species